rnacentral:lncRNA from 1 species
GUGGAAGCUGAAAAGCAUCUACUGCUUGGAAAAGCACUAAGAGGCAGACAGAUCCCAACCCACCAGCAAAAUCAUGAAGCCAAGCAGCUUUCUCCUCCUCACUCUGAUGGUCUUCUUUUUGUACUCAGAUGUUGUUGUGAAAGCAACAUGGGAAGCGAAAUAUUGCAAAGGGUAUCCAAAACCAGCAUGCACCCUGGAGUACCUGGCCCACUGCGGUUCUGAUGGCAAGACCUAUGGCAACAGGUGUCUCUUCUGCAAUGCAUAUAUCAAAAGUGGAAGCAAGCUGAAACUGAAAUACUUCGGAAAAUGCAAAAAAGUUUAAGAUGCACAAGACUAUGAAACAUCUGCAAAAGAAGUCCCAUUUCUCUUUAAAGCUUCACUCAUCGCAUCACCACAAAAAAGAAAUCCAUUCUUCUCUUUGCUUAUCCUCUGUGAGCCAGUGAAUAUCUCACAACAUCUUGAUUCGGUUUAUCAAUAAAUAAGCUCAGCAACAUUAUCAAA